UACGUAGGGUGCGAGCGUUGUCCGGAAUUAUUGGGCGUAAAGAGCUUGUAGGCGGUUUGUCGCGUCUGCCGUGAAAAUCCGGGGCUCAACCCCGGACUUGCGGUGGGUACGGGCAGACUAGAGUGUGGUAGGGGAGACUGGAAUUCCUGGUGUAGCGGUGAAAUGCGCAGAUAUCAGGAGGAACACCGGUGGCGAAGGCGGUUCUCUGGGCCUUACCUGACGCUGAGGAGCGAAAGCGUGGGGAGCAAACAGG
rnacentral:rRNA from 1 species